UACAUUUUGGAUAGAUAUACAAUAAUAAUACUAUUUAUUCUAAUUACAUAUUUAAACCUAUUUCAUACUAGAAUUUAAUAAAUAUUAGACUAUAUAGGUUUUUUUGUUUAUUUUUUAAAUAAGGUAAAUAAAAUGUUGUUUGAAAAGGUAAGUUUUGAUAUGACAUUCCUUGGUAUUCGGAAUACAACUUUCAAAAAACUACCCAUUCUAAAAAAUAAUUUUCACACUUUUCUCCAUACCACUCCUAUCCCGAAACCCAUUUCUCUAAAAAAAAACCCAAACCGAAACCAUAAUUCUCUGCCAAAUCCCUCCCUAGCUGAAACCAAACCGCCAACUAUGGCCAUUCUGCCAAUGAUCAAACCCCAGAGAAAGCAUCCAUGAAUGCCGAAUCCCAAGAGUCUAGUGAAUAGACCCCACCGUCGCCGCCUAGCGUGAGGAAGAAGACCGGCGGCCCGAGGAAAAAGAACCAUGAGCCACCACCGAUUUCCCACCAAUCGUCUAAGAAGAAGAAGAUUGAGGAGUGCUCGGACGCUUAUUCUGGAAUGCCCACCCGAUGCUCCAUCAUUAAAGGCUUCAACAGUGGUUCGUUUCUGCAUGUUCUCCUGUUAUGGACCUUAUGGCUCAUUGAAACCCACGUGUCUUGUUUUUUUAGGUUGACCUGGACGACGUUUUGAAACUGGUGGUAGAAUAUAAUGUUCCAAUAUCUCUUGUGGAAACUCCCAUGAAUGGUGGUCCGCUAAAGGUAGUAUUGAAUCUUCAUAGGUUGCAACAUAUGCGUCUAUUGUAUAGUAGUAAGAGACAUGUAUCGCAUUGGAAUCUUUGACACGUGCAUGUUUUUUUUCUUCUCCAUGUUGACUAUGUACUCUGUUUCUUCAUCAUGAACUGUAAAGACGAACAUAUUUGAUGUUUGCAACCUGCAUUAUUAAACAUAUUUGUGAAAUCCAUAUAAUAAACUAUUUGGUUUAUUUUUUAGUACAAAUAAACUAAUUAAUCAAUA